rnacentral:rRNA from 1 species
AUUGAACGCUGGCGGCAUGCUUUACACAUGCAAGUCGAACGGCAGCGCGGGCUUCGGCCUGGCGUCGAGUGGGGGACGGGUGAGUAAUACAUCGGAACGUGCCCAGCAGUUGGGGAUAGCUCGGCGAAAGCCGGAUUAAUACCGCAUACGACCUGAUGUUGAACGGGGGGGAUCUUCGGACCUCGCGCUAUUGGAGGGGCCGAUGGCAGAUUAGCUAGUUGGUGGGGUAAGGGCCUACCAAGGCGACGAUCCGUAGCUGGUCUGAGAGGACGACCAGCCACACUGGAACUGAGACACGGCCCAGACUCCUACGGGAGGCAGCAGUGGGGAAUUUUGGACAAUGGGCGAAAGCCUGAUCCAGCAAUGCCGCGUGUGUGAUGAAGGCCUUCGGGUUGUAAAGCACUUUUGGCGGGAACGAAAAGGACUGUGCCAAUACCACGGUUUGAUGACGGUACCCGAAGAAUAAGCACCGGCUAACUACGUG